CCCAGACUUCCUGGCCAGUCCCCUCAACUGCAUACCUGGGAUCCUCCUUUUACAGGAAGCUCUGGAAUAUUGAGAGUGAUUCCUGCACAGCAUGGAGGAGAGUCCUCCCUCAAGAAUCUCCUUUCACGCCUAGCAGGGGGAGAUGCUUAGGAAAUAACAGGGGCCCUUCCCAGAAAAGCUCUGCAUUGGGGUGAACUCUUACCUACCCAGCAGGGGGACCCCAUACUAAACACGUUCUCAUCUACAAUUUAAGGUAGUUAGAGCACCAGAGCUCAAAGUUCUCCCUACAUGCAUCAGCACAGGUGGCCCUUGGAAUAACCCUUUGAAACAUCUGAGAAACAUUCAGCAGAACAGAAGAGAUGCGGUGGGGUUCUUCAGCUGCACAGCAGGGGGUCCUCUUCCAAAGACAGCUCCAGGAUAUUAUGGAUUCCCAAAUAUUUUAUGCUGUCGACAGUUAUU